CAAGACACAGAGUAGAUCAGAAUACAGAGAGGGAGACAGACGGCCAAAAAUGGACACGGUAGAGAUAAAAGUGAGGGAAAAUGAAAGGCAAAAAUUACAGAGAGAGACACGAUGAAACACCAAAUUGGUGAAUGUGUAUUAUAAGCAGCCUUUGAAAAAAUGCUGGCACAGCGAGUUUGUGGCAAAGCAUCCGAAACCUGCCUGAGAGGCCUCGGUAGCAAAAGAAGCUUCUUACAGACGUGAAACCAUCUUAUUUUAGGUCAUUUCUUUGCAAACUUUUCAUCAAAACCCUUUGAAGCAUUAAGAAUAAACCUCGGCGGCCUCGAAGCAAAGCGCCGCGCCGCUGUUUGGGCCGAGGGGAGGUGCCCCUGAGGUCAGGCGGGGUCACGCCGCUCCCGACAGGAAGCUGCAUGGGGACGCACACGACAGCCCGCGAGCCGCCUCUGACUGAAGGCAGAAGUCCUCCGUCUCUCGAGCUCGUCCUCCCGUUUUGUGGUCGAGCGUCGUCCCCGCGGGAACCCGGAGAGGCUCGCGGCGGCCGCAGGAGGAGGAGAGACGAAGGCGCCUUUGACGUAAUUGUAGCAUUUG
ensembl:lncRNA